rnacentral:rRNA from 1 species
GAUUAAGUUAUUAAGGGCGCACGGUGGAUGCCUUGGCACUAGAAGCCGAAGAAGGACGUUACUAACGACGAUAUGCUUUGGGGAGCUGUAAGUACGCUUUGAUCCAGAGAUUUCCGAAUGGGGAAACCCAGCAUGAGUUAUGUCAUGUUAUCCGCAUAUGAAUACAUAGUAUGUGAGAAGGCACACCCGGAGAACUGAAACAUCUUAGUACCCGGAGGAAGAGAAAGAAAACUCGAUUCCCUGAGUAGCGGCGAGCGAAACGGGAAGAGCCCAAACCAAUAGGCUUGCCUAUUGGGGUUGUAGGACACUCAAUACGGAGUUACAAAGGACGACAUUAGACGAAUCAUCUGGAAAGAUGAAUCAAAGAAGGUAAUAAUCCUGUAGUCGAAAAUCUUUUCUCUCCUGAGUGGAUCCUGAGUACGGCGGAACACGUGAAAUUCCGUCGGAAUCUGGGAGGACCAUCUCCCAAGGCUAAAUACUCUCUAGUGACCGAUAGUGAACCAGUACCGUGAGGGAAAGGUGAAAAGCACCCCGGAAGGGGAGUGAAAUAGAACCUGAAACCGUGUGCUUACAAAUAGUCAGAGCCCGUUAAUGGGUGAUGGCGUGCCUUUUGUAGAAUGAACCGGCGAGUUACGAUUUGAUGCAAGGUUAAGCAGUAAAUGUGGAGCCGUAGCGAAAGCGAGUCUGAAUAGGGCGUUUAGUACGUGGUCGUAGACCCGAAACCAGGUGAUCUACCCAUGUCCAGGGUGAAGUUCAGGUAACACUGAAUGGAGGCCCGAACCCACGCACGUUGAAAAGUGCGGGGAUGAGGUGUGGGUAGCGGAGAAAUUCCAAUCGAACCUGGAGAUAGCUGGUUCUCCCCGAAAUAGCUUUAGGGCUAGCCUUAAGUGAAGAGUCUUGGAGGUAGAGCACUGAUUGGACGAGGGGCCCCUCUCGGGUUACCGAAUUCAGACAAACUCCGAAUGCCAAAUAAUUUAACUUGGGAGUCAGACUGCGAGUGAUAAGAUCCGUAGUCAAAAGGGAAACAGCCCAGACCGCCAGCUAAGGUCCCAAAGUGUGUAUUAAGUGGAAAAGGAUGUGGAGUUGCUUAGACAACUAGGAUGUUGGCUUAGAAGCAGCCAUCAUUUAAAGAGUGCGUAAUAGCUCACUAGUCGAGUGACACUGCGCCGAAAAUGUACCGGGGCUAAACAUAUUACCGAAGCUGUGGAUUAUCCUAAGGAUAAUGGUAGGAGAGCGUUCUAAACGUGUUGAAGCAUGAUCGUAAGGACAUGUGGAAUGUUUAGAAGUGAGAAUGCCGGUGUGAGUAGCGAAAGAUGGGUGAGAAUCCCAUCCACCGAUUGACUAAGGUUUCCAGAGGAAGGCUCGUCCGCUCUGGGUUAGUCGGGACCUAAGCCGAGGCCGAUAGGCGUAGGCGAUGGAUAACCCGGCACUCGUAAGGUUGAGUUGUGAUGGGGAGUUGUCAGGUAUCCGACGAGUCGUUGAUUUCACACUGCCAAGAAAAGCCUCUAGUUAGAAAAUAGGUGCCCGUACCGCAAACCGACACAGGUAGUCAAGAUGAGAAUUCUAAGGUGAGCGAGCGAACUCUCGUUAAGGAACUCGGCAAAAUGACCCCGUAACUUCGGGAGAAGGGGUGCUUUUUAGGGUGCAAGCCUUGAAGAGCCGCAGUGAAUAGGCCCAAGCGACUGUUUAUCAAAAACACAGGUCUCUGCUAAACCGUAAGGUGAUGUAUAGGGGCUGACGCCUGCCCGGUGCUGGAAGGUUAAGAGGAGUGGUUAGCUUCUGCGAAGCUACGAAUCGAAGCCCCAGUAAACGGCGGCCGUAACUAUAACGGUCCUAAGGUAGCGAAAUUCCUUGUCGGGUAAGUUCCGACCCGCACGAAAGGCGUAACGAUUUGGGCACUGUCUCAACGAGAGACUCGGUGAAAUCAUAGUACCUGUGAAGAUGCAGGUUACCCGCGACAGGACGGAAAGACCCCGUGGAGCUUUACUGUAGCCUGAUAUUGAAAUUUGGCACAGCUUGUACAGGAUAGGUAGGAGCCUUUGAAACGUGAGCGCUAGCUUACGUGGAGGCGCUGGUGGGAUACUACCCUGGCUGUGUUGACUUUCUAACCCGCACCAUUUAUCAUGGUGGGAGACAGUGUCAGGCGGGCAGUUUGACUGGGGCGGUCGCCUCCUAAAGAGUAACGGAGGCGCUCAAAGGUUCCCUCAGAAUGGUUGGAAAUCAUUCGCAGAGUGUAAAGGCACAAGGGAGCUUGACUGCGAGACCUACAAGUCGAGCAGGGUCGAAAGACGGACUUAGUGAUCCGGUGGUUCCGCAUGGAAGGGCCAUCGCUCAACGGAUAAAAGCUACCCCGGGGAUAACAGGCUUAUCUCCCCCAAGAGUCCACAUCGACGGGGAGGUUUGGCACCUCGAUGUCGGCUCAUCGCAUCCUGGGGCUGUAGUCGGUCCCAAGGGUUGGGCUGUUCGCCCAUUAAAGCGGUACGCGAGCUGGGUUCAGAACGUCGUGAGACAGUUCGGUCCCUAUCCGUCGUGGGCGUAGGAAAUUUGAGAGGAGCUGUCCUUAGUACGAGAGGACCGGGAUGGACGCACCGCUGGUGUACCAGUUGUUCUGCCAAGGGCAUAGCUGGGUAGCUAUGUGCGGAAGGGAUAAGUGCUGAAAGCAUCUAAGCAUGAAGCCCCCCUCAAGAUGAGAUUUCCCAGCGUAAGCUAUAAGAUCCCUGAAAGAUGAUCAGGUUGAUAGGUUCGAGGUGGAAGCAUGGUGACAUGUGGAGCUGACGAAUACUAAUAGAUCGAGGACUUAACCAU